rfam:Gorilla gorilla gorilla genomic chromosome, chr12, whole genome shotgun sequence
ACCAGGUGUGGUGGUGCACGCCUGUAAUCCCAGCUACUAGGGAGGUUGAGGCGGGAGAAUUGCUUGAACCCAGGAGGCAGAGGUUGCAGCGAGCUGAGAUCGGGCCAGUCCACUCCAGCCUGGGUAACAAAGCGAGACUCUGCCUCAG